rnacentral:rRNA from 1 species
GUAGGUGGCAAGCGUUGUCCGGAAUUAUUGGGCGUAAAGCGCGCGCAGGCGGUUCUUUAAGUCUGAUGUGAAAGCCCACGGCUCAACCGUGGAGGGUCAUUGGAAACUGGAGAACUUGAGUACAGAAGAGGAAAGCGGAAUUCCACGUGUAGCGGUGAAAUGCGUAGAGAUGUGGAGGAACACCAGUGGCGAAGGCGGCUUUCUGGUCUGUAACUGACGCUGAGGCGCGAAAGCGUGGGGAGCAAACAGGGAUUAGAUACCCUGGUAGUCCACGCCGUAAACGAUGAGUGCUAAGUGUUAGGGGGUUUCCGCCCCCUUAGUGCUGCAGCUAACGCAUUAAGCACUCGCUGGGGAUACGGCGCAAGGCUG